rnacentral:misc_RNA from 1 species
GAUGAAGAACGCAGUGAAACGCGAUAUGUAAUGUGAAUUGCAGAAUUCAGUGAAUCAUCGAAUUUUUGAACGCACAUGGCGCCUUCCAGUAUCCUGGGAGGCAUGCCUGUCCGAGCGUCGUUUCAACCCUCGAGCCCUCGUGGCCCGGCGUUGGGGAUCUGCCACGGCAGGCCCCGAAAUACAGUGGCGGACCCGUUAGGCCCUUCCUUUGCGUAGUAGCAUCAGCCUCGCAUCGGGAGCCGGCGGGCUCUCCUGCCUCUAAACCCCCCAACAAGCCCGCUCCGGCGGCACCAAGGUUGACCUCGGAUCAGGUAGGAAUACCCGCUGAACUUAAGCAUAUCAAUAAGCGGAGGA